UUCCUAGUGGCGCAAUGGCAGCGCGUCUGACUUCUACUCUGUGCCGGAGGAUAAAUCAGAAGGUUUGCGGGUUCAAGUCCCGUCUAGGAAA
rnacentral:tRNA from 1 species